rnacentral:tRNA from 1 species
GCCGCAAUAGCUCAGUUGGGAGAGCGACUGAAGAUCUAAAGGUCCCCGGUUCAAUCCCGGGUUUCGGCA